GCCUUCGUGCUGUAGUGGUAAGCACGCUAGACGUGUAUUCGAGAGGUCCGUGGUUCGAGUCCCGGUGAGGGCA
rnacentral:tRNA from 1 species